rfam:Salmo salar isolate Sally breed double haploid chromosome ssa02, whole genome shotgun sequence.
UGCACUCACUACUGUAAGUCACUCUGGUUAAGAGUGUCUGCUAAAUGACUAAAA